CCAGGGGAAGAAGAAAGAGACGAGACGAGAGAGGAGGGAGGGAGGGAGGAAGGGCGGCACCAGCGGCCGGGGGUUGGACUUUGCUUGCAAGCCCAAUUGUCACCCACCGCAGUCCGCAUCCAGGAUUCUCUUUGGAAAUCGUGAACCCUUCCUGGCCGGCUGAGAGAUUGGUUCUUGCUUCGGUGGGCAGGGCAGGGGUGUGUUUGAUUUCUUGGAUCAAUCUGCUCUGCUGCUCCGGCUAAGACGUUCGAGGGGGAAGAAGAUCAGGGGAACGCAAGUGCUGGCUGUUGCUGCUUACAACAAGAUCGAGCAAGUCAAACAAGAAGAAAAGCAAGAGGAUGAUGAUGAGACUCCGUGGGAGCAAAGAUCCGGAUUCCUCCUUCUACCAGCUGCGCCCCGAUUGCACCCACAACGUGCCCGACACCAAGUUUAAGAUCAAGGCUGGCAAAACGUUGAGCGUUCGGAAAUGGCAUGCUGCGUUUACGCAUCAAGGCUUUCUAGACAUUGCUUCUGUCCUCAACCGGAUACAGAGUGGGGGCGUACACCCUGCAAUUAGGGGAGAGGUUUGGGAGUUCUUACUUGGUUGUUUCGAUCCUGAGAGCACCUUUGAUGAGCGGGAGCAGAUCAGGCACACAAGAAGAAUACAAUAUGCUAGAUGGAAGGAGCAAUGCAAAGAGAUGGAUUCUCACGUUGGCAGCGGUAAAAUUAUCACAGCCCCAAUCAUAACUGAGGAUGGUGUACCUAUUAAGGACCCUUUGGUUUUGCUCGAAGCCACUUCAGACCAGAGUACAUCGCAAGGUGGUUCAACUAGCAGCAGGAAUGGAAACGAGGUAGACGAGUCUGUAAACCGUGUGAUGGAUAAACAAACUAUCGAGUGGAAGCUUACGCUACAUCAAAUCGGUCUUGAUGUUCUACGCACUGACCGUUCCAUGGUGUUUUACGAGAAGAAAGAAAAUCUCUCAAGGUUAUGGGAUAUUCUAGCUGUUUACGCGUGGAUUGACAAAGAAGUUGGUUAUUGUCAAGGAAUGAGUGAUUUAUGCUCACCGAUGAUAGUGCUACUCAAUGAUGAAGCAGACGCAUUUUGGUGCUUUGAGAGGUUGAUGCGUAGACUGCGUGGGAAUUUCCGAUGCACACAGCAAUCUGUUGGGGUUGAGAAUCAGCUUCAGCACCUUGCUUCUAUCAUUCAGGUGCUAGACCCAAAGUUACAUGACCACCUAGAAACACUUGGUGGGGGUGACUAUCUCUUUGCAUUCCGUAUGUUCAUGGUAUUGUUUCGGCGUGAGUUGUCAUUUGGGGACUCUUUGUACCUUUGGGAGAUGAUGUGGGCUCUAGAAUAUGAUCCUGACAUCUUCUCCACGUAUAAAGAAACUGGUGAUGCAACUGACAGAACUCAAGGACAUAAACCAAAAGUUAAAUCGACCCGUCAGUUUGGCAAGUACGAGAGGGCGAAUAUGAAGAAUGGUACUAACGGUGUUGAUGGCCCUGUCCCUAUUUCUGUUUUCCUGGUUGCUAGUGUUCUGAAGGAGAACAGUCAGAAGCUUCUGCAAGAAGCCCGAGGGAUAGAUGAUGUUAUUACAACUAGGAAGGAGAGAAAAAGGGGGUAAACAGAAUGAACAAAUCCUAUGGCAAAUAAAGGGGCAGAAUCUCGAAUCCACUCUUGCAUCUGUCUUUCUUUUCACUAUACUAUUAUUUAUACUCAAACAAUGGGAAAAACUGGAUUACUCAUAUGUUAGGAAAAUGCUAGAGAUGGACUAUAAAUGAAACUAGAUUUGUCAUAGACUCAAAUAGACCUGAAAUUUUGUUUACCGAUUAAGUUUAAUGUGUCACUUUCUUUGUUUUGUUUAUUUGAGAUACUGAACAAUGUUAACGGGAACUUGGAUGCGAAGAAGGCUUGCGCUGUCGCAUUGAAACUUCAUGUGAAGUACCUUAGAAAGAUGCAGGGAAAGAAACCCUAACGGCAGGACACAGGAUACGGGGAAGGCUCUGAGAGGUGCUAUUUGGAUGUAAAUUUGGAUGCAAGGCAGAGUAAAUAUUGAAAUACUUGUUUGUAUGUAAAUUUGGAUGCCAUGCAAUCCACCUCGUUAUUUUGAAACCCCAAGUUUAAGAGAACCCUAAAAAAACAUGUAUGCAUUAAUUGUUCUCUGGGAGAAUUUACAGCUCUUCAAUUCUCUUUGAUAAUUAAAGAAGAUGA